GGAAGGCCAAAGCGCGUCUCGAGUGGUCUUGAGAGAGUCUUCUUCAAGCAUCCUCAACCUGAUUUGAAAUGGUCUUGUUUGAACUUGUCAAUUUGUUUAAUGUUCCAGAUCCAUGGCUACAGAUUUUGGAAUACCUGCAUUUGCAAAGACAAAUAUAAUGAGAUAUCCUGACUAUUGAACAAGCCAAUUAGGACUUCUGGGAGUUGGAGGCCCAAACAGACAGAGGACCGCAGGUUGAGGAUUCCUGGUCUACACACUGUCCACUUAAUGCAAUUUGGCCCUGCUUUAACUUCCUUGAUUUAAUGCUAUGGAAUAGCAUAGCAGUUUGGUGAGCCAUCAGCACUCUGGCAGGAAAGGCUCCAGACUUUGGAAAACUCCUCCUCUUCCAAUACACAUUAGCUAGGUAGUUUAUUUAAUGUUUAAACCAUAGGUCUUUCACACACAGCAAAAACAUAAAUACAUGAAAACCAGAUUAUUAAAUACAGUACGAAAUACACCAUUAAAAUACUACCUCUAAACCAUUAAAAUGCUACCUAAAUCUAUGGCAAGAUGCACAGGACUAAACUGCUGUGCUGCAGAAAAUUGUGCCGAUCAAAAGGUUGGGGUGAGCACUCACCGUCAGCCCUGGGUCACCUGCCCACCUAGCAGAUAAAAAAAAUCUAGUAGAUAAAUAGGUACCGCUUUUAGUGGGGAGGUAAUAAAAGGUACCCUUAAGGACAUCGAUCGUGAGGACGUCUAAGGACAACAAAAGCUCCUCAGCAUGGAAGAUGGAGCAACAGCACCCCUCCCCCCAUGGUUGGAAUUGAGCACAGCCUCCAAGAUGCCAGAAGGCAUAACAGAACCUGAGACUCUCUUGGUCCUUGACUGGAUUUUCUGGACAGCCAGACAGCACUCCUACAAGGAAGGCCCUAUCUUCCGCAUGCUUUUAUGGUGUUUGUUGUCUGGCCACUAGCUUCAAACUGCAUUAAAAGCUUUGACCUUCCGUCGUCUUCUUGACGGACGCCAUCUGCUACUCUGGAUUUACGGACUGAAAACUGACUACGGGCUCGCUUUCUCCUAUUGAACUUGGAAAACUACAAACGUCUGAUUCUGCCUCUCGACCUACGGAACGAACUGGGACUACGCUACUGCUUCAAUCCUUGGCUGCUGAGUUUGUAUUGGAAAUUUGCCUUGCUGUGUGAAGGAGUGACUCCUAGUUACUCAAAACAUAGUGCUGGCAGCAGAGAGGCAUCUGCUGCCAAUUAGUUGCAUUCUUUUGAACUCUUUGUUUCCCAGCUUCUGUUUGUUUAUCCCCAGGCUGAAGCAAGCUGUUUUGAUUUUACCCGGAUUAAACUCCGGUUUAAUCCGGUUUAUCUUUUUUCGGAGUCCAACCAGUCUAGGAGCCUGUUAUAUAAGUGGCGAGAAUAAAGUUUUCCCACCACCGAGAGCAGGCUGAUGGGACGGUAGUUUGCUGGGUCGUUUUUGUCCCCUUUUUUAUAAAUUGGGAUUAUAAUAGAUUUUGACCACGGGGCAGGAAUUAGGGCUGUGCGGUUAAUGUGUGUGAAGAGGGGGGCCAGAAAGGCUGUCCACCAUGAUAUGUUGUUUUUUAGAUGUUCGGGGGCUAUUUGAUCUGGGCCUGGGGCUUUACCGUUUUUCAGUGAUGAAAUCAAACUUUUAAUCUCCCUACCGGUCACCGGGGACCAUUGUGGUGUAUCUAUGCUACCGAAGGAGAUCACUGAAGCAGGAUAUAUAUAUUUGAUUCAAAAAGACCUCUUCAAAUCCCACCAAAUCAAAGCAUUAAAUGAGAAGUUUAGGCAAUUGGGGCUUUCAGAGAAUAUACUGAGGGGUUUCGAGUAUAAAAAGACUGUGAAGAUCUUAGCAGAGCGAAUUAGUGACAUAGACAAACAAACCUCAAUGACUCAGGCGCGCUCUACAUGCUCCCCAUUGACUCUAGGCCUAACAUUUAAUUCUAUGGGAGGUGCUAAAUAUCUAGAAAACUUAAAUAUACCAAAGUUUCGCCUUGCUUUUAGCUGGGCCAGAUUCAAUGCACUCAAAUCAGCCAUACUAGAGGGCAGAUACAAAGGCAUUAAAUACGAACACAGAGCAUGCCCUUGCGGGGAGGGAAAUGUCGAAACUGUUAUACAUGUACUUUUUAUUUGUACAAUUUACAAAGAUGAUAGAUUAAGGUUAAUAUCACCUCUACUCACUAAAUGGCCAGGAAGAACCCUAAAUUGGUACCGCAGUUAUUUACUGUCUGACUUUGACAAAAGGAUAACGGAGCAGGUGGCUAAAUUUCUCUUUUCAGCGGCAAAAAGCCGCAAGUGCUUCAUGAAAAAUCUGUAAGUGUUGAGAGUAUAACAAAGAAUAUCUAGGGGACAGUUUACUAAUCUGCAAACAGUUUUUGUUUUAGAUUAUAAAGUUAGUCAAAUAGCCAAUAGAGUUUGUACAUACCUGUUAUUAACCAUAAGUCAAAUGCAAUUGUCAUAAAUUACUCAAAUGCUGUAUUCCAUCUGUACUUGAUCUGUACUACAUCUGUACUAUAACUUGAUCCUAGCCAAUGGUUUGUUGACCGAAAUAAAGGCUACUGACUGACUAAACUCCGGUUUAAUCCGGUUUAUCUUUUGAACGUUUUUCUUGCCCCUUUUUGUUUUUAAAGGCUAAAGUUGCCUUGCCCUUGUCUUUUACGGGCAUUUUGAGUUCUGUAAAUCCAAUAAACUCUGUUAUCUUUGA